rnacentral:rRNA from 1 species
GAGCGUUGAAAAGCUCGGGGAUGACUUGUGGGUAGCGGUGAAAUUCCAAUCGAGCCCGGAGAUAGCUGGUUCUCCCCGAAAUAGCUUUAGGGCUAGCCUCAAGGGGAGAGAUACGGAGGUAGAGCACUGAAUGUCCUAGGGGGUAUUGCACCUACCGAAGACUAUUAAACUCCGAAUGCCGUCAUCUUAUACUUGGGAGUCAGACUGUGGGUGAUAAGAUUCAUAGUCGAAAGGGCAACAGCCCAGAUCGUCAGCUAAGGUCCCUAAAUG